AAAUGAAGGGGGAGAAAGCUUAGAGCUACGGAAAGGACAAACAUCAUCUUCUCAAAGUAUAGCUUGUGAAGAAAUGGAGAAUGAAGAGCUUAACAAUAACCAACUUCCACCAUAUCAAGUGGAAGAACAUUUCGAUGAGGUGGCUCCACGAUGUGACAGAAUACUCAGAGAUUAUGCAAGACCGAAUUAUUUUGAAGGAGAAUCAAGUGUGAAGAGACCACCAAUUAUAGCAAACAACUUUAAAAUUUGCACAGGCUUGAUUCAAACUAUUCAAAAGUCAUGUCAAUUUACUGGUAAUGCGAGUGAAGAUCCUCAUACCCAUCUAAUUGAUUUUCUUGAAUUAGUUGAAACAUACAGGUAUAAUGGAGUCACAACAGACGCUAUCAGAUUGCGGCCUUUUCCUUUUUCAUUAAAAGGUGAAGCAAAAAUAUGGUUGCGAAGUCUGCCAAGAGGUUCAAUCACUACACGGGAUCAAAUGACUCAGAAAUUUCUUAAUAAAUAUUUUCACAUGCAAAAACAUUUAAAAUGAAGCAAGAAAUCAAUUAUUUUGUACAGACAGAUGCCGAAUCUGUAUACCAAGCAUGGGAACGAUUAAAAGUAAUGUUAAGAAAAUGCCCACACCAUGGUAUUCAAGAUCUUGAUAUCUUAUAUAUUUUUUUAUUAUGGUCUUAAACCCUCUGCUAGAAAUGUAAUUGAUGCAGCAUUAGGAGGAUCCAUAAUGAGCAAAACCACUAAAGAAGCCAUGCAAUUGCUCAAUAAAAUUUCAGAAAAUGCUGUGCAAUGGCCCUCAGACAGAAUGAUUGUUAAUAAAGCAGCAUGAGUUAAUCAAGUUGAAGCUUGGAAUUCAUUAGCGCAACAAAUUGCAACUCUGACACAAAAAGUUGAGGCCUUUCAGGUAAAUACUCAAUCAUCAUCUCAACAUGAGAAUUGUGACGUUUGUGGAGGUAAUCAUCCCAAUCACGAGUGUCAAGCUUCAACACAACAUGAAAAACAAGUAAAUGUUAUUGGUUAUAGAACCAGUUACCCAUUCGGUAGUCCCAUGGCACGAAAACAUCCGAGUAGCCCAAAUGGUGCUGAAAAUCCUCAAAGUUUUUUCAAUCAAAAGCAGCAGGUGCAGGGACCCCCUGGUUUUCAAAAUCAAAAUAGAGGGCAACAAGAUUUUCAACAAUAUCAACAAUAGUCCCAUAGAGCUCAUCAGCAAAGCCUUGAAGACAUGAUGUACAAAUUCAUUAAGGCUAUUGACGAGAAGGUUGGAAGUCAAAAUUCAACCAUCAAGAAUUUGGAAAUCCAGAUGAGCCAAUUAUCAACCCUCAUGUCUAGACAAAUAAAAUGUGAUCUACCAAGUAACACCGAGAAAAAUUCAAAGGAACACCUCAAAUCCAUCUCUCUGCGGUCAGUUAAAACUCUUGAUGAUCCAUAUGCAGAUAGACAAGGAAAGCCACAAGAAGUGGAACAGAUGAAUAUAAAGAUGAUCAUUUGAUUACUGAUUCAUUGAAAAGAUGUUUGGCAAAGUCAGGUACCACAAGUGAUGAUGACACUACAAUCAGAAAAGAAGCAGAAAUGCUGGAAAAAGAUUCAGAAAAUGACAAAGUCUCACAAGAAGAAGUUCAACCAAAAAUUAAACUCAAAACUCUUCCUUAUCGUUUGAAAUAUAUUUUUUCUUAAACCUGAAUUAUUUCCAGUAAUCAUUUCAUCCUCUUUGAAUGCAGAACAAGAAAGAAAACUGAUUGUGGUAUUGAGAGAAGUAGUGAAACUUCUAGCGGCGGGUAUCAUUUAUCCGAUAUCUAACAGUCCUUGGGUAAGUCCGGUGCAGGUAGUACCAAAGAAAGGAGGUAUGACAACGAUAAAAAAUGAAGAUAACGAACUCAUACCUACCAGAAUAGCCACAAGGUGGAGAGUUUGUAUUGGCUAUAGAUGACUUAAUGAGGCUACAAGAAAAGAUCAUUUUCCUUUACAUUUUAUUGACCAAAUUCUUGAAAGAGUUACAGGUCAUGGUUUUACUGUUUUCUUGACGGAUAUACAGGGUAUAAUCAGAUACCAAUUACUCUAGAUGUAACGACCCGAUCGGUCAUUUUAAGCUCUAGCACGUCAUUCGGUGGUUUGAGGCCUUGGGUA